rnacentral:lncRNA from 1 species
UCAAUGUCACGCUUCAAAACUUUUCAAGUUGUCAUAUUGAUGUUUCAAUUGAAGAUUCAAGCGACAUGAAGAUAUUGAGGUUUACAGUGUUUUAUGGUUCUCCUUAUUCACAUAAUAAGGAAGAAUCAUGGAAUCUAUUGCGACAUCUAUGAACCAUUGGUGAGCUUCCAUGGCUGGUUGGUGGGGAUUUUAACGAAAUUUUAUAUGGUUUCGAAAAGAAAAGAGGACUACCUCUAGAGGAAAGAAGGAUGGAAGCUUUUCGACAGAUAUUAGAAAAUUGUCGAUUGGUGGAUGUAGGCUAUUCAGGAAAUUAGUUUACUUGGGAGAGAGGUAACUUGCCAGAAACGAAUAUACAAGAAAGACUUGAUAGAGGUGUAGCGACUGAAGAGUGGAUCUCUUUAUUCCCAGAUUCCUUAAUUUAACACCUCUCGCAUUCUUUUUCAGAUCAUUGUCCUCUAUUUAUUACUACAGACCGUGAACCAGGUUACUUAAUAAAAGUUUUAAGUUUGAAGCAUGGUAGAUCUUGGGGAAACUUUUAUGGAGGAGGUUCGUGUAAUAUGGGAAAAUUUUACAAGGGAUGUAUUGAAUAAGUUAGAAAGUAUGAAAAGAGGACUAGAAAGAUGGGUUGGAAAAAUUAGUUGACAAAGGAAAAUAAAGAAAGAUGUUUUGAAUUUAAAAUUGGUAAGGCUAUUUGAGUCUGAGAGAAAUAACGAAAAUAUGGCAGAACUUAUAAACACAAAGAUUCAACUGAAUUUUGAGAUAGAGAAGGAUGAAUGUUAUUGGGAACAGAGAGCUUGAAUAAACUGGUUGAAAUUUGGAGAUAGAAAUAUAACGUUUUUUCAUAAGCAAGCAACGCAAAGGAGGAAGAGGAAUUUUAUCCACAAAAUGCAAUACGAAGAUGGUAAGGAGAUGGAGGAAUACAAGGAAAUGGAAGGAAUUGCUAGAUCAUAUUUUCAGAAGCUAUUUUUAGUAGGAAGACGGGAUAAUUGCGAUCGAAUUUUAUCAGGAAUCGAUUACUGCAUUACCGAAGAUGACAGUGGGUAACUUAAUGAAAGAUACACUAAGAAGGAGAUACGAGAAGCUUUAACAGAGUUGGGUCCCACCAAGGCACCAGGAGACGGCCGAUUUUUUGCGGUAUUUUACCAAAAAUGUUGGUCAAUCAUCGGAGACGAAGUUUCAGAUUUUUGCCUUCGAUUAACAAAGCAAAUAUCCUGCUAAUAUCGAAGGUUUCAAAUCCUGCCAAUAUUACUCAAUUUAGACCAAUUAGCUUAUGUAAUGUGAUUUAUAAAUUGAUAGCCAAAGUCAUUGCAAGUCGACUUCGGGUAGUGAUUAAUAAAUGUAUAGAUCUAGCACAGAGUGCUUUCGUACUAAGGAGGUUAGUUUCUGAUAAUGUGUUAUUAGCUUAUGAAAUUUUACAUGCUCUGAAGCACAAGACCGGAAAAAAAAGGCUUAUGGCGGUGAAACUUGACAAUGAGUAAGGCGUACGGUAGAGUAGAAUGGAAGUUUGUGGAGAUGACAAUGAAGAAAAUGGGUUCUGAUCCAAGAUGGGUUGAUUGGAUUAUGAAAUGUGUGUCUACAGUAUCGUACUCAGUGGUAUUCAAUGGAAAGUUAGGGGAAGUGUUUCAUCCAAGUAGAGGUCUAAGACAAGGAGAUCCUUUAAGUCCGUUUUUGUUUUUAUUUUGCGGGGAAGGUCUCUCAAGUCUGAUGAGGAUUGCAAUUGGAGGAAGAAUACUUAAAGGAGUAAAAGUUAGUCGAAGUGGGCCAUCUAUUUCACAUUUACUUUUUGCAAAUGAUUGCAUUCUAUUUGCAGAAGCUACUGAAGGAGCGCAUUCCUUAAAACAGAUUUUGAUUGAAUACGAAAAGUGUUCUGGCCAGUGUAUUAAUUAUGACAUGUUAACAGUGUUUUUUAGCAUAAAUAUGUAGGUAGGGAAAUGAUCGCAGUCUCUAAUGUAUUAGGCGUAAAAAGGUCAACUGAUCCAGAUCGGUAUUUAAGGCUUCCUAAUAUGGUGGGGAGAGAGAAGAGAUCAUCAUUUCAAGUUUUAAAGGACAAAUUCAAAAAGUGAAUUGAUAAUUGGAGCAUAAGGCACCUCUCUCAAGGGGGGAAAGAAAUUUUCAUAAAAGUAGUUCUCCAAUCUAUUCCUACUUACACUAUGGCUUACUUUCUUCUUCCUAAGUCCCUAUGUGUUGAAUUGGAGGGUAUUAUAGCUAAAUUUUGGUGGCAGAAAAGUCAUGACAAAAAAGGCAUUCACUGGUGCCUUGUAAAGAACUAUGCUCAUUGAAAGAAGAUGGGGGACUUGGUUUUCGAAAUCUUGCAAAAUUUAAUGUCGCGUUGUUAGCAAAGUAAGGUUGGCACCUUAUUAAUUUUCCAAAUUUGUUAUUAGCUCGUGUUUUGAAGGCAAAAUAUUACCCUAACUCAGAUUUCUACAAUGCUCGGUUAGGAACAUUACCUUCACUUACCUGGAAGAGUGCCUGGGCAGCAAGAGGGCUUUUAGAAAAAGGUAUGUGCUGAAGAAUUGGAAAAGGGAACCAUAUUUCUGUCUGGGAUGAUUUGUGGAUAUCAGGGGAUGAAGCAGAUAGAUUACAAAACCAAUAAAAUAAUGAAAAUAUCAGUUAGUUUCGGAUCUGAUAGAGGCCACUAUUAGAACUUGGAAAACAGAGGUGAUUAUGAAUACUUUUAAUUUGGCUGUUGUAAGGAAGAUCAUACAAAUUCCACUGGCAGAGAUAGAAUAUGAAGACUUUCAAGUAUGGAGAGGUGAACAGUCCGGUGAGUUCUCAGUCAGAAGCGUCUAUAAACCAUUACAGGAGUCUAGCGUGGAUCCUAAUAAUUACUUUAUACAAACCGAAAUAAAAAAAUUUAUAUAAAAAACUAUGGAAAUUAUAAAUCCCCUCAAAAGUAACAUUGACAAUUUAGAGAAUUUCUUAGAAUUUUAUUCCUUCCCUUGUGAACAUCAAGCAAAAGAAAGUGGUAGUAAAUGCACAAUGCCCUCGAUGUCGUCAAGAUGAAGAGAACAGUAACCACAUUUUUCGCCAGUGUCCUACAACUGUUGAGACUUGGAAUUACUUAAAUCUGUCUUAGGUACUGAAUAAUGAUAUUCAGAAUACGUGGGAGUGGCUUACUUGGGUCUUUGAACAGGAGACUAGUGAACAGAUCCGGUUUUUCUAUUGUGGACUCUGGUUGAUCUGGUUCAACAGGAAUAGAUUAGUAUAUGAAAAGAAAACUGCGACAGGAAGAGAUACAGCAAAACAGAUCCAAAUUUUCAUCUUAGAGUUCGAUGGGGCAAAAGAGAAAAAACUUACAUACCAGUCCAAUAGAAUUUGUCAACAGCAUGUUUGCGAAGCAAGGGUUACAGUCUAUUUUGGUGUAGCUUAUGACCAACAACAUUUCAGAUCGGCUUCAGGCUUGCUUGUACAAAAUGAAGAGGGGGAGAUCUUAGCAUCGAAAAUGGUCAAUCAUUCUGAUAUAGCUACUCCGUUCAUGGCAGAGGCUCAAGUAAGGUUACAAGCAAUGAAAUUAGGAAUCUUCAUGGGAUUAAACAAAAUGGAGGUAAUAGGUGACUCAAAAACUGUUAUAAAGAAAUGCCAAAGUCCCGAGAUUGAUAAAUCGACCAUUGGAGCAAUUAUUAGGGACAUUCAAAGCAUAAAAGACAAAUUUCAAGAGAUCGGUUUUCACUUUAUACCCAAAAUAGAGAAUAUUUAUGCUCAUGUUCUCGCGAAGAAGGCUCUAAGGAGGAGAGAAAAUUGUUACCUGGAAGGAGGGAUUCCAGACCACGUUCGUCAAGCUCUAGAGAGGAAUAGACCAAGGUAUCCGGAUUGAGAGGAAAUGAAGAUGGAAAUCUCUGGAAAGGAUAGUAGGUAAAUGAAAAGAUCUUUUUUUGAAAACUGUUAUCAUUAUGGCUGGGUCAGAACCGUGAAAAGACAGAGACUAUUGGCAUCCAGCUGUUGAUUUGACUGGGUUAGGAUUUGUUUUAUUUUUACCAUUUAGCUGAAGUUUCAUUCAGACAAUUUGGGCUAGUUUUAAAAGUUUUAAACCGGCUCCUCUUUUUAGUAGGCUUUUUGAUUUUCUUUUCUUCUUUUAGGUUUGGGCUAAAGGACUUUAGUCCAAUCUGCUUAUGUGUAAUUAGUUCUUUUAUUGAUUUCAGU